UACGUAGGGACCAAGCGUUGUUCGGAUUUACUGGGCGUAAAGGGCGCGUAGGCGGCAUGACAAGUCACUUGUGAAAUCUCCGGGCUUAACUCGGAACGGCCAAGUGAAACUGUCAAGCUAGAGUGCAGAAGGGGCAAUCGGAAUUCUUGGUGUAGCGGUGAAAUGCGUAGAUAUCGAGAGGAACACCUGCGGCGAAGGCGGGUUGCUGGGCUGAUACUGACGCUGAGGCGCGAAAGCCAGGGGAGCGAACGGG
rnacentral:rRNA from 1 species